UACGUAGGGUGCGAGCGUUGUCCGGAAUCACUGGGCGUAAAGCGCACGUAGGCGGACUCUUAAGUCGGUGGUGAAAUCCUGGAGCUCAACUCCAGAACUGCCUUCGAUACUGAGAGUCUUGAGUCCGGGAGAGGUGAGUGGAACUGCGAGUGUAGAGGUGAAAUUCGUAGAUAUUCGCAAGAACACCAGUGGCGAAGGCGGCUCACUGGCCCGGUACUGACGCUGAGGUGCGAAAGCGUGGGGAGCAAACAGG
rnacentral:rRNA from 1 species